CAUCUGUUGCAUCACACAUGUCUGCAAAAUAUCUCCCAAAACGGACUUGACAAUUAACUGGAAGAUGAGCUUCAAAGUUGUGGGAGUCAGUCACUGGCUGAAUCAAGAGUUGGCUGAAUGCAAGAUGUGUUGGGAAGCAGUGAGGGAGUACUGAGGAAGCCCAAAGAAGAUACCCCCAACAGCUGAGAAAGUUAUAAGAAAUGUGACUCAGAGGCUGGGGAGGGAUGCACUCAAGUUGGAAAGAAGUCUGUAGGAAGAAAACCCCCUGCUGUACAGAGUCAUGGAUUCCAUGCUUCAAUGGAUGAGUGUUAUCACAUUCACUGGGGAGGGAGAAGUGCUUGACAAGAAGAGGAAAGCCCACCCCCACUUCCACCUCCUAUCUAAUAAAGGAAAGAUCCUCACGCUGGCUCCAGUGCAAAGGUAGAGAGUAAAUAUUUCCUCUUCAAAGCCAUGAAUCCAAGCUAUUUCCCCCCACACACUUUAUGCCCAAAGGUUCUCAAGUGCUGUCAUUACAGCCUAUUUGUGUUUAAGAUUCUUUGUUUAAAAUCACA